UUAAAUUGAAGAGUUUGAUCAUGGCUCAGAUUGAACGCUGGCGGCAGGCCUAACACAUGCAAGUCGAACGGUAACAGRAAGCAGCUUGCUGCUUUGCUGACGAGUGGCGGACGGGUGAGUAAUGUCUGGGAAACUGCCUGAUGGAGGGGGAUAACUACUGGAAACGGUAGCUAAUACCGCAUAACGUCGCAAGACCAAAGAGGGGGACCUUCGGGCCUCUUGCCAUCGGAUGUGCCCAGAUGGGAUUAGCUAGUAGGUGGGGUAACGGCUCACCUAGGCGACGAUCCCUAGCUGGUCUGAGAGGAUG
rnacentral:rRNA from 1 species